CAUGCAAGUCGAGCGGCAGCGGGAAAGUAGCUUGCUACUUUUGCCGGCGAGCGGCGGACGGGUGAGUAAUGCCUGGGAAAUUGCCCAGUCGAGGGGGAUAACAUUUGGAAACGACUGCUAAUACCCCAUACCCCCUACGGGGGAAAGCAGGGGACCUUCGGGCCUUGCGCGAUUGGAUAUGCCCAGGUGGGAUUAGCUAGUUGGUGAGGUAAUGGCUCACCAAGGCGACGAUCCCUAGCUGGUCUGAGAGGAUGAUCAGCCACACUGGAACUGAGACACGGUCCAGACUCCUACGGGAGGCAGCAGUGGGGAAUAUUGCACAAUGGGGGAAACCCUGGUGCAGCCAUGCCGCGUGUGUGAAGAAGGCCUUCGGGUUGUAAAGCACUUUCAGCCAGGAGGAAAG
rnacentral:rRNA from 1 species